rnacentral:rRNA from 1 species
UACGGAGGGGGCUAGCGUUGUUCGGAAUUAUUGGGCGUAAAGAGCGCGUAGGCGGUCCGAUAAGUCGGCUGUGAAAGUCAAGGGCUCAACCCUUGAAAGCCGGCCGAUACUGUCGGACUAGAGUCCGGAAGAGGCGAGUGGAAUUCCCGGUGUAGCGGUGAAAUGCGCAGAUAUCUGGAGGAACACCGGUGGCGAAGGCGGGUCUCUGGGCAUUACCUGACGCUGAGGAGCGAAAGUGUGGGGAGCGAACAGG